rnacentral:rRNA from 1 species
UGCAGUGGGGAAUAUUGGACAAUGGGCGAAAGCCUGAUCCAGCCAUGCCGCGUGUGUGAAGAAGGUCUUCGGAUUGUAAAGCACUUUAAGUUGGGAGGAAGGGCAGUAAGUUAAUACCUUGCUGUUUUGACGUUACCAACAGAAUAAGCACCGGCUAACUUCGUGCCAGCAGCCGCGGUAAUACGAAGGGUGCAAGCGUUAAUCGGAAUUACUGGGCGUAAAGCGCGCGUAGGUGGUUUGGUAAGAUGGAUGUGAAAUCCCCGGGCUCAACCUGGGAACUGCAUCCAUAACUGCCUGACUAGAGUACGGUAGAGGGUGGUGGAAUUUCCUGUGUAGCGGUGAAAUGCGUAGAUAUAGGAAGGAACACCAGUGGCGAAGGCGACCACCUGGACUGAUACUGACACUGAGGUGCGAAAGCGUGGGGAGCAAACAGGAU